rnacentral:rRNA from 1 species
GAUGAACGCUGGCGGCGUGCCUAAUACAUGCAAGUCGAGCGAACGGACGAGAAGCUUGCUUCUCUGAUGUUAGCGGCGGACGGGUGAGUAACACGUGGAUAACCUACCUAUAAGACUGGGAUAACUUCGGGAAACCGGAGCUAAUACCGGAUAAUAUUUUGAACCGCAUGGUUCAAAAGUGAAAGACGGUCUUGCUGUCACUUAUAGAUGGAUCCGCGCUGCAUUAGCUAGUUGGUAAGGUAACGGCUUACCAAGGCAACGAUGCAUAGCCGACCUGAGAGGGUGAUCGGCCACACUGGAACUGAGACACGGUCCAGACUCCUAAGGGAGGCAGCAGUAGGGAAUCUUCCGCAAUGGGCGAAAGCCUGACGGAGCAACGCCGCGUGAGUGAUGAAGGUCUUCGGAUCGUAAAACUCUGUUAUUAGUGAAGAACAUAUGUGUAAGUAACUGUGCACAUCUUGACGGUACCUAAUCAGAAAGCCACGGCUAACUACGUG